AUGAACGGUGCUCUACUUGCCCCUUAUACCGCGGAAGAUGUUCGCAAGGCUUUAUUCGAUAUUGGGGACUUAAAAGCUCCAGGACCAGAUGGUCUCCAUGCUAUUUUCUAUAAAAGGUUCUGGCCUAUGCUGGGGGAGGACCUAAUUGAGGAGGUUCUGAAAGUAGUCAACACAUGUACUAUCCCGACCGGUUGGAACGAUACGGCGAUCGUGAUGAUUCCUAAGAUUAAUACACCAGAAAAGGUAACACAAUUUAGACCGAUCAGCUUAUGUAAUGUGGUAUACAAAAUAAUUGCAAAAAUGGUGGCUACCCGUUUGAAGGUUUUUUUACCAGAAAUCAUUAGCCCAACACAGAGUGCAUUCGUACCGGGAAGACUGAUAACGGAUAAUAUUUUAGUGGCCUAUGAAUGUUUUCACACAAUUAAGAACAAAAGAGAAGGUAGAGAGGGCUUGUGUGCCAUAAAACUUGUCAUGCACAAAGCAUACGAUAGAGUUGAGUGGCCUUUUUUGAAAGAGAUUAUGUUGAGAUGGGGUUUUCGUCAAGAAUGGGUGAAUUUGAUUAUUCAAUGUGUCUCAACUGUCGAAUACAGAGUAAGGAUCAAUGCAGAGGAAAGUGAGAGCUUCAAGCCUACUAGAGGAUUGAGGCAGGGUGAUCCGCUAUCACCAUACCUCUUCUUGCUAUGCACAGAGGGUUUGAAUGCAUUGCUGACACAUGUCGAGGAAAACGAAAACAUAUCAGGAGUUAAAGUAUGUAGGGACGCCCCACCAAUCACAAAUCUUCUCUUUGCGGAUGAUUCAUUGAUCUUGAUGAAAGCCAAUCAACAUAGUGCGGGGCCCCUGAAAUCAGCAUUAGAUUUAUAUUGUGCGGCGUCGGGACAACUGGUAAGUGUGGAAAAGUCCAGCAUUUUCUUUAGUCCUAAUACAACAGUUGAGAUCAGAGAACAAAUGUGUACAACGCUGAAUAUAAUGACGGAGGCAAUGAAUGAUAAAUACCUGGGUUUACCAGCCAACGUGGGUGCUGACAAAUCAGACUGCUUUAAAUUUCUGAUUGAACGAAUUGUUAAGAAAAUUAGUGGUUGGAAGGAAAAAUUACUGUCCGCCGGGGGGAAGGAGAUCCUACUCAAGGCUGUGAUCCAAGCCAUACCUACCUAUGCAAUGUCGGUCUUUAAAAUUCCUAAAAAUUAUAUAGGAAUCAUUGACGCGAUAGCGCAUUUCUGGUGGGGUGACGAGGAGAACCAGAGGAGGAUGCACUGGAUGGCCUGGUGGAAAAUUGUGUACCAAAAAACGAAGGUGGAAUGGGAUUCCGUGAUAUCCACUGUUUCAACCUGGCUUUUCUCGCCAAACAAGCAUGGCGUCUUAUUGAUAAUCCUGAUUCCUUGUGUGCCACUAUUCUGA
rnacentral:rRNA from 1 species